CUGGGUCAAGCCUUCCAGCCUGGCCUCCAGAGCACACCUGCCCUACAGGGUGUAUGGCCGUCGGUGACAAAAUUCCCAGAGCCCUUCCUGUCCCAGGGCCCCACAGGGGACGAGAACAUUCAGCACUGAGCUGCAGAGGCAGACAUCACGGCAGCCUCGCCCUGGGGAAAAGCGCAGCUGCAGGCGCUGGAUUGUUUACCAGUGGCAGAGGAGCCACCCACAGUCCGGCAGACACGUGAACCUCCAAGGCCUCCGUGGAAAAACAUUCCGUAACUCCAUUCCAUUACGGCCCAGACAAAAUAAACAGGUCUCCAAGGAAA